rnacentral:tRNA from 1 species
CCGCCGGUAGCAUAGUGGUUAUCGCAUCAGACCGGCAUUCUGGAGGUCGUGGGCUCGAAUCCCACCUGGCGGG